UACGUAGGUGGCAAGCGUUGUUCGGAAUUAUUGGGCGUAAAGGGCGCGUAGGCGGUUUGUUAAGUCGGUCGUGAAGCCCGGGGCUCAACCCCGGAGGGUCGACCGAUACUGGCAGACUAGAGUACAGAAGAGGUAACUGGAAUUCCCGGUGUAGCGGUGAAAUGCGUAGAUAUCUGGAGGAACACCGGUGGCGAAGGCGGCACUCCUGGACCGGUAUUGACGCUGAGGCGCGAAAGCCAGGGGAGCAAACGGG
rnacentral:rRNA from 1 species